CCUCUCAUUAAUUCUCACAAAAUAGAGAAUUCUUAUUAGUUCCCACCUUUUCUAAAACACUUAUAUUUAUUUCAUUUUAUAAAUUAUUUUUAAUUUUAAUUUGCUUCCUAACCAACAUCAAACUCUCUGCCUCAUUUUAGAUUACUAUACCAACAUCAAAGACUUAACCUCAUUCUAUCUUCAAGCAACAAUCAGCGAACAAAUUAUAAGUGACCUCAAGCAAAAAACAUCAAACUGAAUUCAGGCCAAGUUUUUAUAAUUAUCUGACUCUUUUUUUUUGUUCAUAGUGAAUUUAAGGUUCUUUUUAAAAUCUUGGAGCUGUUUAUAGGAUGCGUUGAAAAAUGGUGAGCCAUGGACUGUGAGUUUUGACAUGAUAUUUAUUUAUUCUAGCUUCUUUUGUGUUCUUAUACUACCUUUGCAGCAGGUUUAUGAAAUGGCAAUGGUGUCAGGCUGAACAAGAAGCUCAAAAGAACAAUUGAGAAGUUUUAAUGAACCGUAUCCAAAUUCAAUUGUUAAUUCCAUAUGUAAUAAUUUGUUUAUCUCUAUCAAUUAAUUGAAUUGUACGGUUCUUAUUCAUUAUA